rnacentral:misc_RNA from 1 species
CGCAUCAACCGUUGAUGAACUUGAUAAUGGGAAGAGACAGUCGCUUAAACUGCACAGUGAGAGACUUGCCAUUGCUUAUGGACUUCUGAAACUAAAACCAGGUACUCCUUUACGCAUUUUCAAGAAUUUGCGCAUAUGCAGUGAUUGUCACAAUGUAACCAAAUUAAUUUCGAAAGUCUUUGAUGUUGAAAUUAUUGUUAGAGAUCGUGUUCGGUUUCAUCACUUUAG